rnacentral:rRNA from 1 species
GACGAACGCUGGCGGCGUGCCUAAUACAUGCAAGUCGAACGAGAGCGACCGGUGCUUGCACUGGUCAAUCUAGUGGCGAACGGGUGAGUAACACGUGGGUAACCUGCCCAUCAGAGGGGGAUAACAUUCGGAAACGGAUGCUAAAACCGCAUAGGUUCUACAGUCGCAUGACUGGAGAAGGAAAAGAGGCUUCGGCUUCUGCUGAUGGAUGGACCCGCGGUGCAUUAGCUAGUUGGUGAGGUAACGGCUCACCAAGGCCGUGAUGCAUAGCCGACCUGAGAGGGUGAUCGGCCACAUUGGGACUGAGACACGGCCCAAACUCCUACGGGAGGCAGCAGUAGGGAAUCUUCCGCAAUGGACGCAAGUCUGACGGAGCAACGCCGCGUGAGUGAAGAAGGAUCUCGGUUCGUAAAACUCUGUUGUUAGAGAAGAACAGCGCAUAGAGUAACUGUUAUGCGU